UUGGUCUUUUAGUACUUGUCAGCUGCCUCCCACAUGCUGCGAGGUGACUGCUGACAGUUUUUGUGUUGUUUUUAUGUUGUUUUUGUUUUAUGCCUAUAAGAAUAUGAAAAAAGUCUAAUUUGGUGUAAAUGGUGUUCCUGACUAGGGUUUAUGGUAGUGUAACCCAAAGUAAAGUCUGUCUUUACUAGAGUUUUGUAAUUUUCUACACUUUACCUGCUAUGAAACACAUCACUAAUACGUGCCUUAGUUUCAUGACCCUAAUCAUAUGGCUACGGUCAGCCAAUCAGAUUGCAUGCCAGGUGACCAAGCUGUUGCAGGCCACGUGACCCUUUUUGGGGAUUAAAAAGGAUGGCGAGCUAACGAACGGCUGGGAGCCAGAAUCUGUACUCUGGACACUUGUGCAACACUGCAGCAAAGCUUCAGAGGGUGUUUGGGUAGCAGCUAUAGUUCGAAAAAGAUGAUGUAGCUAACAAAGGACAUGCGUGCAAAAUGUCAUCCUGAAGAGCAUGCAUCAAGACGUCAUCCUGAAGCUUUUUAAAAAAAUUCAAAACACAUGUGGCAGAGGGAGUUUGGCUGAAGAGGAAGAAUGAUUUUAAUAUGUAUUUGAAUAGUAUUUUAUUUCUUUGAAAUCUUUCUGAUGGUUUUGUAUAAUUGCAAAUAUCCUGAUGAUGUUCAAGGUCAUGCUUUUAUUUAUGCGACUGUUUUAAAAUUACCAACUGAGACAUAACUUUGUAUCAUAACUGACAUUGUUUUAGUGACUCGUGAGUUCUCAGUAAAGAAUCUACAAACAAAAUCUCUGAACUGGGAUUGUGUUUGGCGCAGCAGUC